rnacentral:rRNA from 1 species
UGGGCUUGACAUCCCGGGAAUUCCGUGGAAACAUGGAAGUGCCCUUCGGGGAACCUGGAGACAGGUGCUGCAUGGCUGUCGUCAGCUCGUGUCGUGAGAUGUUGGGUUAAGUCCCGCAACGAGCGCAACCCUCGUCACUAGUUACUAACGGUUCGGCCGAGGACUCUAGUGAGACUGCCUUCGUAAGGAGGAGGAAGGUGAGGACGACGUCAAGUCAUCAUGGCCCUUACGGCUAGGGCAACACACGUGCUACAAUGGCCAGGACAGUGAGACGCGAUACCGCGAGGUGGAGCAAAUCUAUAAACCUGGUCUCAGUUCGGAUUGUAGUCUGCAACUCGACUACAUGAAGCUGGAAUCACUAGUAAUCGUAGAUCAGCUAUGCUACGGUGAAUACGUUCCCGGGUCU